AUGACAAAAUCAAAUCCAGAUCAUUUACGCUUUUCCUCCCUGGCUGCCCAACAAUCGCCCACCAUCGUGAACGACACAGUAACUAUCCGGACCAGGAAGUUCAUUACUAACCGACUAUUUCAGAGGAAACAAAUGGUCAUUGAUGUCCUUCACCUUGGGAAGGCAACAGUACCAAAGACAGAAAUUAGAGAAAAACUAGUCAAGAUGUACAAGACCACACCUGAUGUCAUCUUUGUAUUUGGAUUCAGAACUCACUUUGGUGAUGGGAAGACAACGGGCUUUGGCAUGAUUUAUGAUUCCUUGGAUUAUGCAAUGAAAAAUGAACCCAAACAUAGACUUGCAAGGCAUGGCCUGUAUGAGAAGAAAAAGACCUCAAGAAAGCAGCGAAAGGAACGCAAGAACAGAAUGAAGAAAGUCAGGGGCACCACAAAGGCUAAUGUUGGUGCUGGCAAAAAGGCAAAGGAGUAAAGACUCUACAGUGAUGUUAUCUGCAGCCAUUGUUUAGAUUUUUCACAAGAGGAUU